UACGUAGGGGGCUAGCGUUGUCCGGAAUCAUUGGGCGUAAAGCGCGUGUAGGCGGUCCGGUAAGUCCGCUGUGAAAGUCGAGGGCUCAACCCUCGAAUGCCGGUGGAUACUGUCGGGCUUGAGUACGGGAGAGGCGAGUGGAAUUCCUGGUGUAGCGGUGAAAUGCGCAGAUAUCAGGAGGAACACCGAUUGCGAGGGCAGCUCGCUGGAACGUUACUGACGCUGAGACGCGAAAGCGUGGGGAGCAAACAGG
rnacentral:rRNA from 1 species